rnacentral:misc_RNA from 1 species
CACCACUCAAGCCUGGCUUGGUAUUGGGCGUCGGGUUAACCCGCGCCUCCAUUGAAAUUCGGCUGUGGUCUGAAACUCAUCCCUGCGUCGUGAGAAUUUAUUUCCUUUCGCUCGGGUGGGCGGCCGGCACGCCGUUAAACCAUUUUAUCACA